GAUGAACGCUGGCGGCGUGCCUAAUACAUGCAAGUCGAGCGAACAGAUAAGGAGCUUGCUCCUUUGACGUUAGCGGCGGACGGGUGAGUAACACGUGGGUAACCUACCUAUAAGACUGGGAUAACUUCGGGAAACCGGAGCUAAUACCGGAUAAUAUUUCGAACCGCAUGGUUCGAUAGUGAAAGAUGGUUUUGCUAUCACUUAUAGAUGGACCCGCGCCGUAUUAGCUAGUUGGUAAGGUAACGGCUUACCAAGGCGACGAUACGUAGCCGACCUGAGGGGGUGAUCGGCCACACUGGAACUGAGACACGGUUCAGACUCCUACGGGAGGCAGCAGUAGGGAAUCUUCCGCAAUGGGCGAAAGCCUGACGGAGCAACGCCGCGUGAGUGAUGAAGGUCUUCGGAUCGUAAAACUCUGUUAUUAGGGAAGAACAUACGUGUAAGUAACUGUGCACGUCUUGACGGUACCUAAUCAGAAAGCCACGGCUAACUACGUG
rnacentral:rRNA from 1 species